UGCAAUGUUUUGCGAGCAGACAGCGGGC
rnacentral:sRNA from 1 species